ensembl:lncRNA LOC120102992 uncharacterized LOC120102992
CAGUCCUUUCUCUCCUCGUCCGCGUUCUUUGUUUUUUUGAUAUGGCGCCUUGUAUUUCUUUCCAGUCUUGCCCCCCGCCCCCCAUUCUCCCAGUUCUCCAGCCCACCGUACUCGGUCUGCAUCCCCGGAUGGUUCCUCAGUGGCCGCGGGAUACGGAGCCUGCUGCUAAGGAACCGGGAUUCUCCAUUUCGGCAGUAGAAGCACGGACCCUAAUGGUCGCAUGCGCAGUGAUAAUUCCGCGGCCUACCGACCGCGCCUUUUGACUGCUGUUCAGGUGAAGAUUGUGGUGAGGAAGGAGACCAGAAGAUGGGCCGAUGAGGAGACGAAGCAGGGCCUGUGUGCACUUGGGGGCGGUUCUUGGAAGAGUGAGGAGACAGCCUGUCAGCCUCUGCUCAUUAACCUAAGGACCAUGUGACCAGUGAGGUGGCCAUCUUGUGAUUUGGUCUGCAUUAUUUGUUGGGUAAGUUUAAGUUGAGGACUUUUAAUGAGUGAACCCUGUAUAUAGCAGAACCUCUGGUGUAUAGAGAGGCUAGCCAGCACCUCAGUCUGGCCUGUAUGUGCUGUUAACAUCUGGGACAAAGAUGGCUUGCCCAUUGAAGACCAUUAGCACCGUCCAGUAAUCCAGCGGGAGACUGUAAGGAGGGGGGAAGCUCAGACACUGGUCUGUGAUGAAACCCAUUAUCAGUGGACAUCUAUGGAUGAGAAAUGCGGAUAUGGGACUGAGACCAGUUGCUAGGAGAAACGGGAGGUGGGAACUGAGUCUGAGGAUGGAACUAAUACAGGUUUGUACUUCAUUUUCAGAAAAAUGCCACAAGAAGAUCACACUGGGAUUUAGAAGUUUCUGGCUAAUACUUAGCCAGGUAGCCUUUUGUGGCCAGAUUGGUCUACAAAGAGAAACAGCAUUUUGGAAAAGUGAAAUAGCUUUGUAACCUAACAUGCAAUUGGUUCAAUAAAGACUUCAAAUUUCUUUCUCUGAUUGGAUUUAAAAUGGGACAGGCCAGCUCUUUCUAGUCUGCUGCAUUGUGAGUUCCAGGACAACCAUGUUCCCCGUGAUUUGAUGGGGCCUGCAAUCUUUUCUUAUAGUACCACAGGAUCAGAGAGUGUGGUGGCCAGGCAGGCAUGGGGACAGCCAUUUUUUUUUGGUUCUUUUUUUCCCACAGCUGGGGACUGAACCCAGGGCCUUGCACUUCCUAGGCAAGCGCUCUAACACUGAGCUAAAUUCCCAACCCCAUGAAAUCAGCUCUUAUACCUUCGGCCAGGCCUGAUCAGACCAUUGCACUAUCUAGACAGGAAUGACCACUGACUGCUAAGGC